CCUACGGGGGACAGCAGUGAGGAAUAUUGGUCAAUGGCCGGAAGGCUGAACCAGCCAAGCCGCGUGAAGGACGAAGGUGCCAAGCAUUGUAAACUUCUUUUGUCAAGGGACAAAAUCAGGCUCGAGAGCCUGACCGAGGGUACUUGAAGAAAAAGCAUCGGCUAACUCCGUGCCAGCAGCCGCGGUAAUACGGAGGAUGCGAGCGUUAUCCGGAUUUAUUGGGUUUAAAGGGUGCGUAGGCGGACUGUUAAGUCAGCGGGAAAAUGUCCGGGCUAAACCCGGGCCGGCCGUUGAAACUGGGGAUCUUGAGUGGGCGAGAGGUAUGCGGAAUGCGUGGUGUAGCGGUGAAAUGCUUAGAUAUCAUGAAGAACUCCGAUCGCGAAGGCAAGUGUCCGGGGUGCAACUGACGCUGAGGCUCGAAAGUGCGGGUAUCAAACAGGAUUAGAUACCCUUGUAGUC
rnacentral:rRNA from 1 species